GACGGAGGGUGCUAGCGUUGUUCGGAAUCACUGGGCGUAAAGCGCACGUAGGCGGAUUCGUAAGUUAGGGGUGAAAUCCCGGGGCUCAACCUCGGAACUGCCUUUGAUACUGCGGGUCUCGAGUCCGAUAGAGGUGGGUGGAAUUCCUAGUGUAGAGGUGAAAUUCGUAGAUAUUAGGAAGAACACCGGUGGCGAAGGCGGCCCACUGGAUCGGCACUGACGCUGAGGUGCGAAAGCGUGGGGAGCAAACAGG
rnacentral:rRNA from 1 species